rnacentral:lncRNA from 1 species
UCAGUAUCGUUGCCCACCCUUGCACCACUCCUGAAUUUACGAGUCCCAAGUUAUAUUAAUAUUACUAAUACUACACUAAGGUAGCGUUUACUUUUUGGAUUGAAUUGGGAAUCCUGGGGAGUGGGAAUCCUAGGAUUAGGAGUGUGGAAUGGGAGUGAGAGUAGGUUGUUUACUUAUACUGGAAUGGAAGCAUGGAAUGGAGAUCAGAAUCCAAUUUAUGUGUUUACUUUGUCUUGGAUUGGGAGUAAAUAGUUUCAAAUUACAAUUUUAUCAUUAUUUAAAGAAUUAUAAUUUUUAAUUACAAAACUAAUAAAAAAUAUAUUUAAUGAAUAAUAUUUAUUUUAUUAUAUUUGUAAAUUUAUUAUAAUUAUUAAUAUUCUUAAUUAUGAACAAUAAAUUAUUAAUUGUAAUUUUAAUAUAAAAUGAAAUGUUAUUUUAUUUUAUUUAAUAUAAUUAUAUUAAAUUUAUUAUUAUAUAAAAUAAUAAUAUAAUAUUAUUUAGUACAAAAUUAAUAUUUUCUUAGAAUAAAGUAUUUAUUAUUAUUAUUAAAUAAAUAUAGUACUAUUACUUUUAAAAUAAAUAUAAUAAUAUUAUAUUUAUUAAUUCUCUAUUAAUAUAAUAAUAUUAUUUUAAAAUAAUUUUAACUUAGAAUCAAUGUAAAUUAUUAUUUAGUUAAAUAUAAUAUUAUUAUUUAAAUAAAUAUAAUAUUAUUUAUUUUAUUUUAUUAAUUAUAUAACAUAAAAUAAAAAAAGGGUAGAAAUGGGAGAGGUGGGAGUGGAUUCCCACUCCCACUCCCCACUCCAAAAAUGAGUGGGGCCCACGGAGUGAGACUCCCAAUCCCUCCCCAUUUUAAGUAAGUAAACGCUGGAGUGGGAGGAAUCCACACUCCUCACUCCCACUCCAGCAAGUAAACACAACAUAAGAGAACAAACCCCUGGUGAUUGCUUGUGUUUAGGAUGCUUCCUGCACUUGAUCACCGUAGUAUCAUGCUUUGAUUUUGAUGAUGGGCUCAUGUUAAAAAUUUGAAGUGGUGUUGAGAGAUAUAAGCAAUUCUAAGAAAAAAAAUUGGGGUGUAAUCGUAUGAGAUAUAAGCAGUGUGGAAACUAUAAUAUGGACAUUUAACGACUUACAUCACCUUUUACAAUUUGUUAAGAAGAUUGAAUUCAGAACGCAAAAGCAACCCUGGUAAAAGCAAUAAUAAUGACAAUGAUGGGAGUUUGUUCGGUUUGGUAGAGAUGUGUGAAAGAGAGUGUUGGGGGAGAGAUGAGAAAGAGGGAUAUUUUGGUCGCAAAGGUUCUUUUAUGGCUAAUGUUGAUAGAAAUUUGUUUGGGGGGCUAAGAUGGAAAAAGCUAAAAUUUUUAUGGCUAUUGGUGUAAAUUUCCCUAUUAAUUUUGCCGCCCAUUACCUCUUUUUUUAUUUUUUCUUUUUUACAGUUUUUCUGAUAGGGCCCAUUACCUGUUUAGACAGCAAAGAGACGAACCAUCCAGCUCAGCUGAUAGAAGUUUGAAUCUGAUUUCUACGACUUGUGUCGAA